rnacentral:lncRNA from 1 species
ACACUUGUUUUACACAGAUGAGAUGUACAAGUCAUCAAAAUCAAAGGCAAUAAUCGAAAAGAAACAUCAAUGUUAUACAGUUUGACAGGUACUUAGCGCUAAAAGAUAGAAGCACAAAUAUAACAAAUGAUGCACGUGUAACUCUCGAGCAAAAAAAAAACACAACAUUGAUGCGGAAUCAUAGUCUUCAUAGAUUAACUUUAGUUUAGUCCUCUGAAAAUAAUAAUUCUCUUAUCAUUUUUUGAAAUGCUUGCUUCGUAAUUCCAGAAUUGAGGAGAUCUGUGGUUAAGGCAUAGUCGUUGAGGAGGUUAGGAAUUUGUACCGCAAGUUUUUGUUCACCGUAAUUUUUUCUACUAUGUGGUAUAGGCAGAACACUGUUUCUGAAGA